rnacentral:rRNA from 1 species
AUUGAACGCUGGCGGCGGGCCUAACACAUGCAAGUCGAGCGGAUGAAGGAGGCUUGCUCCUGUAUUCAGCGGCGGACGGGUGAGUAAUUCCUAGGAAUCUGCCUGGUCUUGGGGGAUAACGUCCGGACACGGGCGCUAAUCCCGCAUACGUCCUGAGAGAGAAAGUGGGGGAUCUUUGGACCUCACGCUAUCAGAUGAGCCUAGGUCGGAUUAGCUAGUUGGUGGGGUAAAGGCCUACCAAGGCGACGAUCCGUAACUGGUCUGAGAGGCUGAUCAGUCACACUGGAACUGAGACACGGUCCAGACUCCUACGGGAGGCAGCAGUGGGGAAUAUUGGACAAUGGGCGAAAGCCUGACGGAGCAAUGCCGCGUGUGUGAAGAAGGUCUUCGGAUUGUAAAGCACUGUAAGUAGGGAGGAAGGGAAGUAAGUGAAUAUCUGGAUGUUUUGACGUUACCAACAGAAUAAGCAACGGCUAACUUCGUG